rnacentral:lncRNA from 1 species
AACAUGCUUGGCCCUGUUUCUAGUGGUAAUCAAGUUUAAUGAAUGGUUACUUUGAUUUCUGCCAAUGUAUGAUUGUGAGCUAGCUUCCUGCUAAAUGAAUUGGUGAUGAUCCUGUUAAAACCUAUGUUAUGAAUGCAAUGUUGUUAGAAUUUUGUUAUACAAUUUGUCUUGUUAAUGCUUGUUGAUGCUUGUAUCAAAUGGAUUGGAAUUGUGAUGGAUGAUGAGUGAUAUGCAGCUUGUUAUGAGAGUUCUUUGUGUUAGGUCUGAAUGUGUGACUGUGCUUGAUUGUUAAUGAUUGUGAUGCUAGUUGACAUUGUUGUUUCUUUGAUGUGCAGCCUGCUCUUUUGAUGUAUGGUCUGUCUUGAGAUGUUUUACAAUCAUGUUAUGUUAAGUUAUAUUAAGAAUGCAUUGCCGUAAUGAUUGGUUAGGUUAUGAACUUGAAUGGAUGUUAUGUUAACAUGGUUAUGUGUUAUGUGAUGUGAAUGAUGAUUAUACUUUUCAACUUGGUAUGGAAAUGCUUUGGUUUUAUUUGGCAUGUUUGGCUUAAGUUAGGCAUAGCAUGUUGGUUUGGAAUUGACUCAUGUUAUUGUUAAGAAUGUUUAAAAAUGACACAUUGGUUUUUGGUCUUUGUUUUAUAGGAAAUGGAUGGACCAAUGCAAGGAUGACUUGUUUUUGAAGAAACAAAUGGAGAUUAGAGUUUAGGAAUGGGAAAAAAUAUGAAUUGACUUUGGUGAACUGGUUAACCAAAAGGUCAAUAGUUGACCAAAUGUCAACUUAUGCAAAAUGUAACUCAUUUUUUUUGUAAUUUUUCAAUGUAAUGUAUAUGGAAAAUGUAAAUAUGAUAUUGUAUGAAUGAAAUGCCCCCUUUUUAGUGAAAAAUAUUCUUAUGACUAAUGAAACAAGUUUGAAUUUCAAAUUACCACUUUUCCCUCCAAGUUCAAUUUGAUAUUACAUUGAAACAAAGAUCUGAAAUGCACUUUAAAACAUGCUUGAAUGAAUG